CAUAACAUAUGCAAAUAUCAGCUAAUGGAAAGGCUAAGCUUCAACAAUGACCCAAUGAUACAGUGGUUUACAGGACAUAGACUUUUAUUUAUCGUUUAAGUCCUGAGCCAGGGGUGCGGGUUAGUAUAGCAGUUCCAGGAGAUCAUUCAAAGACCAUGUACCUCAUAUCUUACUGCUCCACUAUCCUGGAAGGAGUUGUUCUCCCAAGAUGGGUCCUAGGCAGGUUGCAUUCUAGCUGAUAGGGAGAGGAAGAGAGAGUAUAUGAGCCCAGGCCUCAGAUGUAGAAGUCAUGCAAAUCCCUUUAUUCCAUUUCUUCCAUCUUCUUCCAUUCCCUUUCUUCCAUAUAGGAGAUCCCAAAUUUCCUAUAUUCCAUUGGUGAGGACAGUUGCAGAGACACACUUGGAUACAAUAUAGUUUAUCUGGGACCUCGGGGCUCCCACCACAGAUCUCUUCCUGUGGCAGAGGAAAAGGAUUUGGUAGAUGACCACCAAUAUCAGUGACAGCUCCAAUUUGAACAAAAUGUAUCAAAAAGUAACAGUUCUCUUAAUGAAAUUAAACAACCAUUGCUAUAAUUGUUUUCCAGAGAUUCAGCAGAACUGUGAGGAUGCCAAAUGUAUGAACAUGUGUGAACAGUGAUUUCAAGUGGCAACGUAGAAGGAAUUCAGCUGGAUAGGGAUCAAACCAUUCUGAACACCUACAAACUCAACGGAGAUCGAAGAAAAGAAGAGCAGCAACUCUCUGAACAGAAAAGUGACCACCUUCUGGAAGGUCUUUUCUGAUUUGUUUAGAGUAUAUUUUCUGGGGACGUUGUUACCCUGCUAGCAUUUUGUUCUCUCAUUAAUCUAUUCUCCUCUGCACAAAAUGACAAGACAGAAAAAAUCACCUCAACAAAAAGAACAAGAGGUAGUACCGAC